GAAAUGCGAUAAGUAGUGUGAAUUGCAGAAUUCAGUGAAUCAUCGAAUCUUUGAACGCACAUUGCGCCCUUUGGUAUUCCUUAGGGCAUGCCUGUUCGAGCGUCAUUUACACCUUCAAGCUCUGCUUGGUGUUGGGCGUCUGUCCUGCCCCUCGGGGCGUGGACUCGCCUUAAAUCUAUUGGCGGCCGGUACCGUGGCUUUGAGCGCAGCACAUCAGCGACCUCAUCGCCGGAGCGUAUCGACUCCCAGAAGCCCAUUUUCUAUGUUUUGACCUCGGAUCAGGUAGGGAUACCCGCUGAACUUAA
rnacentral:misc_RNA from 1 species